AGAGAACUCGAAAUGCGAAGCGGCAGGCCGAUGUUCAAUCCGGUGUUUCUUCCGGCGUUGUUCCCUCCAUGAAGGCAACGAACCCAGCGGUUGUCUCAUCCGGUUCGGUCAACCCAGUUGUCCACCCCGGUAUCUCUUCCGGCGAUGUUAACUCGGUGAGGUCUAAAAAAGGUGCGGCGGUCUCCUCCGGUCCAGGCAAACCAAACGUCCAAACCGGCGCUUCUUCCGGCGUCAGAAGUCAAAGAAAUGCGAGAGGUCAUAUGUCAUGGGUUAGAUCACUUGAGAGAGGAAGGUCCACAGACUAUGACGAGAAGGUUGGAGACCGUUAAAGUUUUGCGUCCUUUAGGCUUACUUCUGUUAGAUACCCAGGUUAUGACGACCUCGACCUUUUUUCUAUUCUAUAUUCAUCUUCUUGGUGUGAUUUGUACACUAUCUUUUAUGUGCUUUGGCAGGAGAGGUUAACCGGAUUGGUUCAACUUUAUGAUCCAGCUGCUGCCAGCAGGUUGUGUUUUGCUUCUCAUUUUUGCUAAUGACAUACGCAUAGAGAGGAAGCUGGUGUGAAGGAUAUGAAUAAGAGCCUUUUAAAAUUAACAGAUUGCAAGGGAGGCUGCUCUAUCUUCUCAGGUUCAUUUCUUGGAGCAGAGGGUGCAGAUGCUUGAAGAGGAGAUUGAGACUCAGAAGAAACUAAACGCUCAGCUAGAAGAUUAAGAGCUUGACCACGAGCAGUGAUCCAUAAAGGCAGGAUUGACUUUGCGCUCCAUCUUGAAGGAGGC